rnacentral:rRNA from 1 species
GACGAACGCUGGCGGCGUGCUUAACACAUGCAAGUCGAGCGGUAAGGCCCUUUCGGGGGUACACGAGCGGCGAACGGGUGAGUAACACGUGGGUGACCUGCCCUUAGCUCUGGGAUAAGCCUGGGAAACUGGGUCUAAUACCGGAUAUGACUCCAUGACGCAUGUUGUGGGGUGGAAAGCCUUGUGCGGCUAGGGAUGGGCCCGCGGCCUAUCAGCCUGUUGGUGGGGUGAUGGCCACCAAGGCGACGACGGGUAGCCGGCCUGAGAGGGCGACCGGCCACACUGGGACUGAGACACGGCCCAGACUCCUACGGGAGGCAGCAGUGGGGAAUCUUGCGCAAUGGGCGAAAGCCUGACGCAGCGACGCCGCGUGAGGGAUGACGGCCU